rnacentral:rRNA from 1 species
CGAAAGCCUGACGGAGCAACGCCGCGUGAGGGAUGAAGGCCUCUGGGCUGUAAACCUCUUUUAUCAAGGAAGAAGAUCUGACGGUACUUGAUGAAUAAGCCACGGCUAAUUCCGUGCAGCAGCCGCGGUAAUACGGGAGUGGCAAGCGUUAUCCGGAAUUAUUGGGCGUAAAGCGUCCGCAGGCGGCCUCGUAAGUCUGCCGUUAAAGCGUGGAGCUCAACUCCAUUUCAGCGGUGGAAACUACAAGGCUUGAGUGUGGUAGGGGCAGAGGGAAUUCCCGGUGUAGCGGUGAAAUGCGUAGAUAUCGGGAAGAACACCAGUGGCGAAGGCGCUCUGCUGGGCCAUAACUGACGCUCAUGGACGAAAGCCAGGGGAGCG